UCAUGGGAACUAAGAGUGAGAACUCACACAUUACCAUGAGGAUAGCACCAAGCCAUUUAAGAGGCAUCUGCCCCCAGGACCCAAACACCUCCUACCAGGCCCCACCUUUAACAACAGUGGGGAUCACAUUUCAACAGGAGAUUUAGAGGGGAUAAAUAUUCAAACUACAUCAAAGGGUUACUUUAGUUCACUGGUUACUGUGGGUGUUUUUUUUUUUUUUUAAUAAAUGAACUUUUAUUCCUAAUAGGAAGUUAAAAUAUUAAAUGGUCAAGUAUCACUGUGUAGCUUC